rnacentral:tRNA from 1 species
AAUUAAUGAGCUUGAAAAUAAGCGUUUGUUUUGAAAACUUAUAAAAGAAUAAAAUUUCUAUUAAUUU